UACGAAGGAUGCAAGCGUUAUUCGGAAUUAUUGGGCGUAAAGCGCGCGUAGGUGGUUCUACAAGUCCGAGGUCAAAUCACGGGGCUUAACGCCAUAAAUGCGUGUGAAACUGUCUGACUAGAGUCCAGGAGGGGCACGAGGAAUUCCCGGUGUAGAGGUGAAAUUCGUAGAUAUCAGGAAGAACACCAGUGGCGCACGCGUUCUACUGGGCUGGUACUGACACUCAGGCGCGAAAGCUAGGGGAGCAAACGGG
rnacentral:rRNA from 1 species